rnacentral:ncRNA from 1 species
GGUCAUGAGUGACAGCGACUACGGCCCCGGCCCGCUGUCCGGCAACCCUCCGUCCGUGGCGGGGUGCCCCGGGUGAAGACCAGGCGGUGGACAGCAAGGUUCGCCGCAAGCGCGGACC